CAUGCAAGUCGAGCGGUAAGGCCCUUCGGGGUACACGAGCGGCGAACGGGUGAGUAACACGUGGGUGAUCUGCCUCGUACUCUGGGAUAAGCCUGGGAAACUGGGUCUAAUACCGGAUAUGACCACGCUUCGCAUGGGGUGUGGUGGAAAGAUUUAUCGGUGCGAGAUGGGCCCGCGGCCUAUCAGCUUGUUGGUGGGGUAACGGCCUACCAAGGCGACGACGGGUAGCCGACCUGAGAGGGUGAUCGGCCACACUGGGACUGAGACACGGCCCAGACUCCUACGGGAGGCAGCAGUGGGGAAUAUUGCACAAUGGGCGGAAGCCUGAUGCAGCGACGCCGCGUGCGGGAUGACGGCCUUCGGGUUGUAAACCGCUUUCGACAGGGACGAAGCGUGAGUGACGGUACCUGUAGAAGAAGCACCGGCCAACUACGUGCCAGCAGCCGCGGUAAUACGUAGGGUGCGAGCGUUGUCCGGAAUUACUGGGCGUAAAGAGCUUGUAGGCGGUCUGUCGCGUCGAUUGUGAAAUCUUGCAGCUCAACUGCAAGUCUGCAGUCGAUACGGGCAGACUAGAGUACUUCAGGGGAGACUGGAAUUCCUGGUGUAGCGGUGAAAUGCGCAGAUAUCAGGAGGAACACCGGUGGCGAAGGCGGGUCUCUGGGAAGUAACUGACGCUGAGAAGCGAAAGCGUGGGUAGCGAACAGGAUUAGAUACCCUGGUAGUCCACGCCGUAAACGGUGGGUACUAGGUGUGGGUUUCCUUCCACGGGAUCCGUGCCGUAGCUAACGCAUUAAGUACCCCGCCU
rnacentral:rRNA from 1 species